AGCAGCCGCGGUAAUUCCAGCUCCAAUAGCGUAUAUUAAAGUUGUUGCAGUUAAAAAGCUCGUAGUUGAAUUUCGGGAUUGACGUGAUGGUCGUGCCUUACGGGGUAUGAACUGUUGCAGUCAAUUUCUCACCUUCUGGAGAAAUAUGAUGUCCUUAAUUGGGUGUCAUAUGGAACCAGAACUUUUACCUUGAAAAAUUAGAGUGUUUAAAGCAGGCUUAUUGCUCGAAUACAUUAGCAUGGAAUAAUAAAAUAGGACGGCAUGGUUCUAUUUUGUUGGUUUCUAGGAUCACCGUAAUGAUUAAUAGGGAUAGUUGGGGGCAUUAGUAUUCAAUUGUCAGAGGUGAAAUUCUUGGAUUUAUUGAAGACUAACUACUGCGAAAGCAUUUGCCAAGGAUGUUUUCAUUAAUCAAGAACGAAAGUUAGGGGAUCGAAGACGAUCAGAUACCGUCGUAGUCUUAACCAUAAACUAUGCCGACUAGGAAUCAGACGAUGUUAAUUUUUAAUGACUCGUUUGGU
rnacentral:misc_RNA from 1 species